GAAGAAAUCUGUUUGUGAGAAAUCCAUGCAGGUAGUGGUAAACAUUAUCAAACUAUCUACUUUUUCUCUUGCAGGUAAUAUCAAUUUCAGAACAAGUAGGAAUGGUGCACUGCCACACAAAAAUAGCGCGAUUUUGAAGAAAGACGAAAGAGUCUCCUCCAUUACGAAUGAAUUACAGUUUGGACAAAAUCCCAAAAGCAACUUUAACAACAGCUGCAUGCUCUCCGGAAUCAACAACAAUGUUAUUGAUGGGAAAUUUUCUGAUUAUAUAGAGAGAUUUCAUGCAAAAAUCCUUGCCGAUAAUUCAGAAAUUACUGGAAUCAAAGACUUGACAUUAGUACUUCCUCCUCCGAUCCACCUCGUAAAUCCAGGCAGACUCUAAUUAUGCAUGUGAUUUUUUAUUACUUAAUUAUACUCGAU
rnacentral:lncRNA from 1 species